rnacentral:pre_miRNA from 1 species
AUAUGAAUCACCUGGGGGUCUUGUUAAAAUGCAGAUUCCAAAUCAGUAGGUCUGAGAUGGUCGUGAGGGGAGGGACUUGAGAUUCUGUUUCUAACAAGUUCUCAGGUGAUGACAAU